UACAGAGGGUGCUAGCGUUGUUCGGAAUCAUUGGGCGUAAAGGGCGUGUAGGCGGUUUUGUUAAGUCAUGUGUGAAAUCCCUCGGCUCAACCGGGGAACGACGCAUGAAACUGGCAAGCUAGAGUACCAAAGAGGGGGUGGAAUUCCCGGUGUAGCGGUGAAAUGCGUAGAUAUUGGGGAGGAACACCAGUGGCGAAGGCGGCUCACUGGACCGGUUCUGACGCUGAGGCGCGAAAAGCGUGGGGGAGCAAACGGGG
rnacentral:rRNA from 1 species